GAUAUGGCUCAGUUGGUAGAGCGCACCCUUGGUAAGGGUGAGGUCCCCAGUUCGACUCUGGGUAUCAGCACCA
rnacentral:tRNA from 11 species